rnacentral:rRNA from 1 species
GGGUUGUGAGGUUAAGCGACUAAGCGUACACGGUGGAUGCCCUGGCAGUCAGAGGCGAUGAAGGACGUGCUAAUCUGCGAUAAGCGCCGGUAAGGUGAUAUGAACCGUUAUAACCGGCGAUUUCCGAAUGGGGAAACCCAGUGUGACUCGUCACACUAUCAUUAACUGAAUACAUAGGUUAAUGAGGCGAACCGGGGGAACUGAAACAUCUAAGUACCCCGAGGAAAAGAAAUCAACCGAGAUUCCCCCAGUAGCGGCGAGCGAACGGGGAGGAGCCCAGAGCCUGAAUCAGCAUGUGUGUUAGUGGAAGCGUCUGGAAAGGCGCGCGAUACAGGGUGACAGCCCCGUACACAAAAGCGCAUGUGCUGUGAGCUCGAUGAGUAGGGCGGGACACGUGGUAUCCUGUCUGAAUAUGGGGGGACCAUCCUCCAAGGCUAAAUACUCCUGACUGACCGAUAGUGAACCAGUACCGUGAGGGAAAGGCGAAAAGAACCCCGGCGAGGGGAGUGAAAAAGAACCUGAAACCGU